ACUCAUUCUCCCAGAAUAAUCUAACCUUUGGAUUAACCCUGAAUAAUCCUAAGUUUGGUACAUAUUAUCUUUUACCAAGCCUUUUUAACCUGCAACCGGCUGGGAAAGUCAACACAUGAUUAGUUGACAUUUUGGGCGGUUGAUUUCCCUCGAAAAUGAAUUGAAGGUUCUUUAAUUCUUCCAACCAACUACGUCACCAUCAUCAUCAAUACGAAGCUCCCUCCUUUCCUCACUACAGUCAGUCUCUCUCUUUCACUUUCAUUUAUUCAUUUUUCACUCUCACCUUAUAUUUACUGCUCUCUGUUUGCUCUCCACCUAAAUUCGUACUUGCUACUGUACCUAGUGAAAUCAGCGAAGAAGGCGUGCUCAAAUUGGUGUGGUCCUUGAAGAAAGUGUCUGCGUUUAUAGGUACGUGCUUAGAUUACCCAAAAUUUCUUUCCUUUUAUGGUUAAUUGCGUGUAUCUGGGUUGAUUUUGGAUUUUUGUUAAAAAAGGGCUCUGCUUUAGCGGUUUUUUGACAUGUGCUUAUGGUAAUUGAUUUUGGUGGGUAAUAUGUAAAUUGGUGGGUAAUUAGGGCUGUAUAAUUGUCAUUUGUGUAUUUAUUGUUAUUGUUGGUAAUUGGCUGAAUGUUUAUGUGUUUUUUGGUUGUUGAUGUUUAAUGUCAGAGGAUGGCUGAUCCUUUUGCUGCUGUGGCUCUAAAGUACUGGUAUGGGGGUACUUUUAGAAGUGAUGCUAAUGGUAUGUUAGUGUAUGAGGGUGGUAUAGGAAGGACCUUUAACAUUGGCCCUGAUGAAUUGUGUUGGUGGUGGUUGGAAGAUUUUGCUAAGCAAUGUUGAGGGUAUGAGACAAUAGAAAGUGUGCAUUACUUAGUACCUGGAGAGAACUUAAGUCAAGGGUUAAGGAAGGUAUACUCUGACUAUGAGGUGAAUGAAUUGCGUGAGUUAGUAUUCAAGUAUAGGGGUAUUGAGGUGUAUGUGAUAGAAGGGGUAAAACUGCCAGUGUUAAGACUUCAAUGAACCCUCACAACAACAGAUAAUCUGUCAACCUUUGAUAAAGGAAGACAUGGCACAAAAACUAACAAUAAGGAGGGUCCUACUUAAAACUUUAAUGAUAAAAGAUGCUUCCAACUAGAAAGAUGCCUCACAAAGUUUGACUCCUUCCUUAACUAGUGUAGAUAAAAGUGUCCAACCUAACACCAAAUCCAAGAGAAAGCAGAUACAACCAAAGCAACCACUACUUCCUGUAUCCACAUUCUACCAGGACUCCUCUUAACUAACCCAUUCCUUCCCAACAUCUGAACUGAUACUUAACCUUCCAACAGAUGAUGAUGAUUUAUGGUUAGAUAAUAGAGCAGAUAUUCCUUUAAAGUGGGAUGAGCUUGUGGGGGGGGGGGGGGUAUGAGAGCAGUGGGGAAGAAAAAGAUCCAAAUUACAACCCAGAGAUAGAUAACGGUACAACAAUUGUUGGUGUUGAGGAUGAGUUUGAUGAUAGUGAUGACUGCAGCCUAGAUCUGGAAGAUGAGCUUAAUUUAAGUGGUGAUGAACAUUUGAAUGAGGGUGUAAAUGAUGAAUCAUGUGGGGAUGAGACUGACCUGAGUGAUGAAGGGUACAAACAACAAAGGAGAGAGUUAGAUCUUGCUCUUCCAGGUUAAUAGAGCUAGCAAGUCAACUUCAGUUAGAGGCAGCUGCAGGGAGGUUAGGGAUUGAAUCAUGGGACAAAGCUACAGGGAAAAACCACAUGUGGAAAAAGAAGAUCAAUCUACUGAACAGGGGUAUGAGAGUGAAUAUGAUGACAGUGAGGAUGAUAUGCUAACUCCAAACAACAGUGGAGACGAAGAAGAAAGUAAAUCUGAGAGGAGGAAGAGGUCAGGUGGUCUUAUAAGUGCAGAUACAGAUUUCAGUGUCUUUAAUUGGAAGGUUGGGCAAAGAUUCUCUUCAAGGGUUGCUUUUAGGGAUGUUGUAGCUUGGUAUGGUAUUUGACAAGGUAGGGAUGUGAGUGUUGAAAUUAGUGAUAUACACAGACAACAAAGAUUAAGUGUUAGAUGUGUACAGGGGUGUAGUUUUUUCCUGUAUGGGUCUUGGGAUUCAAGGAGAGCAACCUUUGUUGUUAGGAGGGUGAAAACAGAACAUAGUUGCUGUAAGAACAUGAAAAAAAACAAACAACUCAAGUCAGGUUGGGUAGCAAGACAGUUUCUUGAGGUUUUCAAAAGCAAACCUCACUGCCAGCAAAAGAAAUAAUAGAAAUUUUGAAGAGGGCAUUCAAGAUUGUUGUGAAAAGGGGAUUUGCAUACAAGGUUAAGUAUGUUGCUCAUAAAAUGCUCCAUGGUUCAAUGCAUGAGCAUUAGUAAAAGGUAGGAGGAUACAUAGCUGCAACGAGGAAUAUCAGUCAUGGUGGCACCUUUGAGCUGGUAAUUGUCACAACAUUAAACAAUUUUGUACAACAACCUUCUCCAACUGUAUUUCAAAGGCUUUUUACUUGCUUUGAGGGGCUGAAAAAGGGAUGGAAAGAGGGAUCCAGGAAGGUCAUUUGUGUUGAUGUUUUUUUUUCUGAAAACUUUCUUGGGAGGGCAGUUAUUAUCAGUAAUGGGGAGGGAUGGAAAUGACCAGAUAUAUCCAAUAGCAUGGGCAGUAGCUGAGGGUGAGAACAAUUUGUCAUGGGAGUGGUUCUUUCUACAUCUCAAAGACUGCUUGGAGCUUGAUGAAGGUCAGGGUGUGUGCAUUAUAUCAGAUGAACACAUGGUUGUGAAUUUAUUCACAAUCUUCUGAAUUGAUAUUUGUAGGGUAUUUUGAAUGCUGUGAAGAGUGUCUUGCCAAAGGCAGAACAUAGACACUGUGGUAGGCAUGUGUUUGCACAUUGGCCUAAAUCAUUUAGGGAGGAUGAAAUGAAGCUUCAUUUUUGGAAAAUUGCUAAGUGUUACAACUUAGCUGAUUAUAAUGAUGAUAUUGAGGAUUUGAACAAGUUGGAUCCAUAUGCAGCAGUGGCAUUCAAAGCUUAUAACCCAAAGCUCUUCUGCAAGGAUUUUUUGGAUUGCUCUGUCAAGUCAGAUGCAAUUACAUCAAACAUGGCUGAGACCUUCAAUGGUUACAUAAUCAAUCCUAGAACAAAGCAUCUGAUAUACAUGCUUGAAGACAUUAGGUGUGCUCUGAUGCAAAGACUUCUGCAAAAAAGGCUUGAAAUGCAGAAGUGCACCUCAAAUCUUUGCCCUAAGAUUCAAAUAAGGCUUGAGAAAAAUAAUGAGAAAGCAGCUAUGUGUGAUGUCAGCUCUUCCACAGAGACUCUUUUUAUUGUCAGCCACUAUUUAUGACCAACUGGUUGUUAAUUUGGAGGCUAAGACAUGUACGUACAUGUAGAAAGUGGGACAUGGUUGAAAUACCAUGUUGUCAUGCCAUUGCCUGUAUUUUCUUCUUGCACCAAGAUGCUGAAGAUUAUGUUGGCAGCUGCUAUUGGAGGGAGGUUUAUUUUAAAGCUUAUGCAGGUGAUGUGUUUGUUUUGUUUUUAAGUUAAUAAUGUUUAUUCACAUAUCAUACAUAUCAUGUUAACUAAGUUACUAUUUUUGGAACAGGAUCAAUUCCACCAUGUGAAGGUGAGAGACAUUGGCCAAAGGUGAACUACACAGUGGAACCUCCCCCAAUCAAGAUUGGCCCAGGAAGGCCUAGAAAGAACAGGAUAAAGGAUCUUGCAGAAAUCCCUUCCAAACCAGGGCAUUUAUCAAGGGUAGGCAUGGAGAUGACUUGCAGCCACUGCUUAGUGAAAGGGCACAAUAAAAGGAGGUGCCCUAACAAAGACUAACCACCUGUUGGUGAACCUCCUCAAAAGAAGCAGAAGGGCAGGCCAAGAAAAGAGGGUUCAGAUCUUGCAGCACCUUAUACUGAUAUGCCUAUCUCCAAUGAGCUACCUAUAGUUGCAUAAGUACCAACACUAGGUGAAAAAACAAAAUUGGCACCGGUUCAAAACCCCUUAAUGCCACCGGUUUGAACCGGUGCCAAUGUGGGGGGUGCUAAUAAGUGGUUUUAAAUGCCACCGGUUCAAACCGGUGGCAAAAGUCGGAAUUGCCAAUGGUUAACCGGUGCAAAAAAAUCUCAAAAAAAUUAAUUCAAUGAUUUUGGCACCGGUUAACCGGUGCUAAAAGUGCCAACAAAAUCAUUU